UGAUGAAAUACCUACCUCACAGGGUUGUUAUGGAGGUUGAAUUAGUCAGUGUAUUCAAUUAUUAGUAUGAAGGAGUGAAAGAGCCCUUGACUAAAGUGGUGAAGCCUGAAGAAGGAUCAGAUUGAGGGGGAAGGUCAAGAGUUUGGCUUUGAGAAGGAAUUCAUUCCAAGAGAAAUGAGUGCCUAUGUCUACAAAAUGACUUGUGCAAGAAUUUUCACAGCAGAUGUAUUCAUAGCUCGAACUGGAAAUAGCUCCAUGUUCACCACCAGGGGAAUUAAUAAACAAAUUAU